GCGGAUGUGGUGAAAUUGGUAGACACGCUAGACUUAGGAUCUAGUGCCGUGAGGUGUGUGGGUUCGAGUCCCUCCAUCCGCACCA
rnacentral:tRNA from 2 species